ACACCGGUUGCUUGUCUUUCUGUCUGUGCUGACUUGGGGUUUGUUGCCCCUGUUCUCUGUCGUGAUUCGUGAAGCUGGCGGCGAGGAUUGUUGUAUCGAACCUGCACAAGAACACAAAGAAGUCAUUCUCGGAGACGUUUAAGGACAUGUACAUGCACUUCAACAAGAGAUCGAGGCUGAUGCCCCUUUGGUCGCUGAAGAUGUUUAUGAAAUCAUCAUGAAGAAUGCUGCUCGCUUGGACAGUGAGAUAAUUUAUGAUAGGGAUUUCGACUACGACUAUUUUGGCUUCAAAACUCUAGAGAGGUCUUGCCUGUUGAAGCUUGAUGGUAAGGUCGUUGAAAGGCCACAACAGAUGUUAAUGAGGGUUUCACUAGGGAUACACAAGGAAGACAUCGAGUCUGCCAUCAGGACGUACCAUCUGAUGUCCCAGCGCUGGUUUUCUCAUGCUUCACCGAUGCUUUUUUCAAUGUUGGCACGUCGAGG